AAACACACACAAACACACACACCGCUCCACUGUAGAAACACACACAAACACACACACCGCUCCACUGCAGAAACACACACACACCGCUCCACUGCAGCUAACCGGUCCAGUACUGUUUGUGCCGGAGACACUUUUUGAGUACAUGGUUUGGUCAUCGUUCUGGUCGUGUAAGGGCAGUGGGUUGUCCAGUGGUUAGAGCUUUGAGUCAGUAGCUGUUUUGAAACCCAGAGCUGGAAAAAAGUUUUAACUUCUGUCUGUGCCCUUGAGCCUAAUUGUUCCUGUAAGUCCCUCUGGAUAAGACAAAUCUUCUACGUUACUAAACAAAAACAAUAAAAAUGAAAUUAAAAAACAACACUGUACUCCUCAGCUCCCACCUAUGCACCUCCAAACCCAGCGGAAAACUGUUCCUAGAGUCUCCCUCAAAAGUACUUAACAAACAUACUAAUAAUUAACAUGUGUAACUAUGUAUAACUGUGAUAAUACACCACAGUUCUGUCACAAAUACAACCAACAACCUUGUUUCUCAUUGAUGAUGACCCCUAGUCCUUCUCCCAUUGGUGGCCAAAGUGCUUUUCCCAUUGUUGGCCCUAGUCCUUCUCCUAUUGGUGGCCCUGGCCCUAGGCCCUUUUCCCAUUGUUGGCCCUAGUCCUUCUCCUGGCCACUCAGUGAGAGGUGAGAGAACUGAGACAUUGUUCCCUAACUGUUAUUCUUUACUCAGUGAGAGGUGAGAGAACUGAGACAUUGUUCCCUAACUGUUAUUCUUUACUCAGUGAGAGGUGAGAGGACUGAGACACUGUUCCCUAGCUUUUAUUUCUGAGGCAGUGUUUGGUGAAAGGUUUGUGGAGUGCCAGAGGCCAUUAGUGGACAUCAAGCCCAGGCACUGCGAAAGAGACCAGCACGCGGCUGUGUUUAAAAAUGGACUGAGACGACGAAGACAGACGUAAAAUGUUAACCUGCUGGAAUCCCAGCUAGUCUCACCACUGGUCUGUGGAGGGCGAGUAGAGAGGAAGUCGGCGUACGGCAGUAUGCCAUUACAUGCAGUCCAACUGGUAUUGUGACGCCACCUAUUCACAGAGACCUCAAGAUGCGUUACAGUCGUGUGUAAAGACAAGGGAGUGUGCUUGUGCGUGUCUCUGUAAGCGUGUUGGGAGACUGAUUUGUGUUGGUGCGAUAAAGCACCCCCCCCCCCUCUUCUUUCGUCCGUCCUUCUCUCGGUAGGGGUUAUGUAAAGUCCACAGCACAACUAACUCACUCAGACACUCUACAGAGAGAGGCGGGAGGGGGAGAGAGUGGACAAGCCCUCCUGGAUUCCCAGCACUGUAAGGUCAUACAUACCAUAUUUAGGACAGGCCUGGAACCCCCCCCCCCCCCCCCCACCUAUCCCCCUCAUUCCUCAAAUGGAAAGCCAUGCAAUGCAUAUUAUUCAAAUUCUGUGUUGGUUUUUUGGUUGAUUGGUUUUCUUUUCAUAGUUACAAAAUCAUACGAGAACAAAGUAAGUCAUGUACAAAUUAUGGAGUAAAACUAACAAAAAGUAAUAAUAUUACGGAGGCCGUAGUUUUCCAGGUGCACUUGGGUGGAAGAGAGAAUGAUGGAUUAUUCACGAGUCUGUGAGGCACUUCAGUCGAUGCAGUUACUGAAACUGAGACUAAAACUUGGACUGAAACUGAGAAGCUGAGUGGAAAAACAGGAGGAGACGCCUGUCCUGCUGAACAGUACUUUAUGUCGUAUUGGGUUGUGUUCAAAAUGGAGGAAAAUUAUACAAAAUCAGAGCAGCGAGCCGUUACUGCCAGAACCUGUCCAAUGGGAAAAGCCUGAGUGUUUGUUGUUGUUGAAAACGUUUUGAAAUGUUUUGCACUCCAAUGAACACGCCCCCGACGGAGAUGUGGGAACUGUGCCCUUCCAUUGAGAAGCAACGUGCUUUAAUGUCUUACCUUUGUUCGGAUAUUACAAUGUAAUGUGGGAGGACAGGUAACUUAUUGUUAAGUGUAAACGAUCUGUUGUUUCACUGCAGGGUCAUGUACAGGUCUAAUCAACAGGGUUAGGAGUUUUCCCUGAAUGCAAAGGACCUCUCUCUAGGUCCUAGGUGUAAAACUCAUCCGGUGAAACUCCGGAGAGUCCCCCUGUGUACUUGGAUGCAUUUUAUUCCUGUCAGGUCAAAUUAUCAGAUUGAACAUCCCAGGUCAAUCCCAGGUCAAUGAAGGGGAAAUCGGUGCGGCCAUGUUUUUUUCCAGACCGUUCGGUCUGAGGUAAAAACUCUUGGUAUUUUAAAUAGGAAAUGUGCCUGAUUACAGGUCUGUGGUGUUCUUUAUAGAGGAGAAGGCAUUCGGUGGAUAUGGUUCAUUAACAGGCAGACCCAGACAUAAGUGGAUUCCUCUCCAUAAUAUGCAUUUGCAGAGAUCUCGACGGAUUGGAGACGUAAGUAUAUUGCAAAGAGGCUAUUUAGUCGUUCAGAUGUUGCUGUUACCAGAUUGCAUUUCAUCCAAUCCUCUAAGAUCCCCACAAGUGUGGAGAGGUUGGAUUCGGGAUCAGAUCAAGGAUAGGGACAGCGAAGACACUGGGCUUCAAAUGAAAGGUCCCUUAUUUAGCGGUAACAAUGUCUGUUUUUUCCGAUUGUGCCCUCGUACUUCUACUACCUUUUUGGACUCAAAAGGAAUAGACCGUUGUAAGGAACACUGUGCUUACUGGACCAUGUGCACGGCAUCUCCAAGACGGAGAGAACAAUGUGAUGGGUGGAUCACACUGGGUCCAGAGUCGGAAGCAGCCAUUAUCUUGUGAACAGGGUAUGUAGACGCCAGGUAGAGAGCUGGGGGUUAAAGUUCGUCCGACAAGAGUUUUAGUUUAGUAUUGUGUUUAUUUUUUUUUUGAAUUGUGUUUCAUUUCCAUGUGAGAGAUACUUCUGAGUAUUGAAUAAAAAAAACCUUGAUAUGACCGAACUUAUGAUUAUAUAUAAAUGCCGUUACUUAAGAGCUGACUCGGAGUCAGCUUAUCCACCACUGUGCUCUUUUUGGUUGACUUGAACUUGCCCUUAAUCCCGAUCUUGAUCUCAAACUUGAUCUUUGAAUUUUUCAACUGUAGUGAAGUUAAGAAGCGUACUUGGAUCAGUGCUCUCGUUCUUGUUGUUGUGUUUCAUUACGUCUGUGUCCCAAACGACACCCUAUUCUCUAUGAGUCUAUAGUGCACUAAACCCAAUGGGCACUCUGGUCAAAGGUAGUGCACUAAACCCAAUGGGCACUCUGGUCAAAGGUAGUGCACUAAACCCAAUGGGCACUCUGGUCAAAGGUAGUGCACUAAACCCAAUGGGCACUCUGUUCAAAGGUAGUGCCCUAAACCCAAUGGGCACUUUGUUCAAAGGUAGUGCACUAAACCCAAUGGGCACUCUGGUCAAAGGUAGUGCCCUAAACCCAAUGGGCACUCUGGACAAAGGUAGUGCACUAAACCCAAUGGGCACUCUGGUCAAAGGUAGUGCACUAAACCCAAUAGGCACUCUGGUCAAAGGUUGUGCACUAUAUUGUGAAUCGGGGGUCAUUUGGGAUGCACACUUUUCAAUAUUGUGUGUAUUGAGAACUGCGCUCCCCAUUCCCGACCAAUCACAGACCAGAGAAGCCCUGGCUGGGACAGGAGUGACCUAUCAUGAUAGAGAAGACAAACCUGAACAUGCCCACACUGGAUGUUCCAUGGCAUCACUGUUAGAUCCACGACACGGGGAACACUCGUGUUCGUGUGGUAGUGACUCCAGGUGGGUGCCCACAUCCUCAUCACUCAAACCAUCGAAAAUGUAACGUUAGAAUUCUUCAUAAGACCUGUCGUCUGAGCUGGUAGCUGUGUGUGGGCUGUGGCCUUAGCCUUAUUUCACACUUAUAGUAUCUCCAGGGGCCAAUCAAAUGGCAUCCUGUUUCCCAUGCACUCCCACUUGCCCUGGUGAGAAGUCGUGCUCUGAACAGCGGCAGUGGGGUGCCAUUUGGCAGGCUUACGGAGGAAUAUAUAGAUGGAGAAAAACUUUGUUCAAAAAUUAUCUUGCCAAUACAUUUAUUUUUUGAAUUUCAUCGUCAGAGGGGACAAAUCAAGUUUGGAUGUCGGAUUUUAGCAAUACUCAACUCAUACUGGCUACUCUUGUUUAUUGCAAUAAUAAAAAUCAACAAAUAUGUAUGUGAGUUAAAUAUUAUCAAUGUAAUUUAAAAUGAAAAAUAAACUUUAUGAAAAUGCUGUUGUUGUCUGUCGAGGGGAAGCUAAUGGUGGGAAAAAAAUAAAUGUCAAUAAAUGAAUAAAAAUCUAAA